AGGUGUGAUCAUACCAGCGUUAAUGCACCGGAUCCCAUCAGAACUCCGUAGUUAAGCGCGCUUGGGCUAGAGUAGUGCUGGGAUGGGUGACCUCCCGGGAAGUCCUAGUGUUGCACCCU
rnacentral:rRNA from 1 species